CGGUUGCGCAAACUGUAAAUGCACAUUUACUUUCUGUUCAUACCAGCAGUGGAAUGGCGGUUUUGCCCUCGAGCUGUAUACUAAAGGCAUGAGUUUUGUAUUGUGUUCUAGAAGCUUUACACUGACUGCACAGCCAGGUACAGACGCUUCGUUCUAUUUUCGGUUUGGUCUCGGAUACAGACGCAGCGUGAAACGGAGGUAUCGAUCAAGCUCUCAGAUAUAAAGGUCGCUGGGGUGGGAAAGAGAAGACGAGAGAUCCUGAUUGUGGUUGACUUCCGGAGGAAGUAAUUAAUGUAGGAAUGGUCUUGGAUUCCAGUUGGGGGGUCAUUACUAAAUGCAGAGCAAAAGAAUUUGGCAUUUGGUGCUGCUGCUAGCAUGGUACAUGCAGCCACAGGGUACUCAGUAGUGAGAUCUAUGUCGGAGGCUCCAAAAUAUGCUUCUGUGAUUGCAAAGAUUUUGAAGCAGGAUUGUCCUAAGGCCAGUCUUAGCCGUCAAAUAAGAAAUCAGAAUAUCUCAAUGCAAGGCAAAGCCAUGGCCUUUUGCUGAGUGGAAGUUUUAUAGCAUUUUCUUUAUUUCGUGACGCAUCAAUUUAUGCAGAACAGGCCAAGUAAUUUCAGAUAUGUUCCAAUAAAAACAAAGGUGAAGGUGGUUCAUCAAUUCUAUACUUCAUGCUGCCUUUCCUUAACAGAGAAAUGUGCUGCCUUUAUUUAACAGAGAGGAAGUGAAGGACCCAAAGCGUGUGUCACCAAGAGCUUCAACUGAGGAACGGUGUGAAGGCAAGGAACAAGUGUUAAGAAGCUUCACAUCAAAGGCACUGACAACUUCCUGAUUGCAAAGAGCAAGAACAACUUGCAAAUGUUGAAUAUGUUGGUUUGAUUAAUUAUGCAGGCAAGACUGCAGUUCGUUAAUCUUUUUUCUCACGCUGAGGAUAACUAAGAAGUUUCCAAAGAGGAGUACAACUUAAAUCAGAAACUGGCAAAGAAAUAUGAAAAUGACAGAGGAUCAAGAAGAAGCUGAUCAAGAUAAGGAGGAAAAGGAUCAUGCCCAUGACUAAUAUGGCAUUAGAAACAUUCAGAGGCAGUAGGCAGUACACCCUCAUUAAAAUUGGGCACUUAUACUCAAAAUAUGUCAUCCAUAUGGAGGAAUGUGUUAAAUGGUUAGAACAUGCAGAAGACUGUAAAAGUACUUGGGCUCUCUCUCUCUGUGAACUAGAGAACUUCAUUUUAUUACUAUUAGUUGUUGGUUCAGUUAGAAAGCAAUUGAUAAUAGUUAUACAACUUGAAUGAAGUUAUACUACCCGCAGCAAAGCGCGGGAUCUCUAACUAGUUCAAUACUAUCAAAGCCUGCAUGGUAUUGUGAGCUUGUACAUAUUGAAGUGAUCGAUUGUACGAUGGAGGCUAUACCAGAGGGGUGAGGUGAUUUUGGAUGACUAAUAACAUUAGAGUUACUUCCAAAUUUGAGCUAAAAUAGGGCUAGCUAGCUAGGUUCACUUUGCUAAUCAUCAGUUCAGGGUUACAAAAAAGUGUAAUGACAUUCUAUAUCUUCACUAUCAAAGUUCAGUCCAAUCUUCAACAGACCCCGAAAAGAAAAGGAAAGGCUUUCUCAUUGAUCA